AUACUUACCUGGAUGGGGUCAAUGGAUGAUCAAAAAGGUCCAUGGCCUAGGUUGGUGACCUCCAUUGCACUUAGGAGGGGUGCUCGCCUAAGGUGUUCUCAAGUAGAACAACCUACAUCAUAAUUUGUUGCUGUGGGGGCCUGCGUUCGCGCGGCCCCCUU
rnacentral:snRNA from 2 species